rnacentral:rRNA from 1 species
UACAGAGGUCUCGAGCGUUUGUUCGGAUUCAUUGGGCGUAAAGGGUGCGUAGGUGGCGCUGUAAGUCGGGUGUGAAAUCCUGAGGCUUAACCUCGGAACUGCAUUCGAUACUGCGGCGCUUUGAGGACUGGAGAGGAGACUGGGAAUUCAUGGUGUAGCAGUGAAAUGCGUAGAGAUCAUGAGGAAGACCAGUGGCGAAGGCGGGUCUCUGGACAGUUCCUGACACUGAUGCGCGAAAGCCAGGGGAGCGAACGGG